rnacentral:lncRNA from 1 species
AAACAGCACAGUACGUUUUGAGUACGUACAAUUUUGGUACUGUACGUACAUGAUGUAAAAUGUACGUUUUAAGUACGUACACUGGGGUACAUACCAGUACGUACAGAAGAGUACGUACUAAGUACGUACUAUCACGUCCAAGUAUGUACCAUGAGAAAGAAGAGCUAAGGCAUAUUUAUUAUGUCAGGUUAUGUUAACCUAACCUAAUUUAUUUGGUUAGGAACAGGAACUUUCCUUCCACCUCGAGUACAGUUUUGAUGUGAUAAUUCAUUGCAAGACAGUUUCAUUUAGAUUUUUUUUACUUAUUUUUGGUGUUGGAGCUUAGUGUGGUUUCCUGUUAUCUUAAGAUUAUUGAGAAGCUGCAAUAAAAAGUCAAAAAUGUAGUGAUAAGAAGGUGGCGGAGCAAGAAAUUGGACGAUGGUUGAGGAGAGCCGGGGAUCGCUUAAAAACUUUCAAGGAAAAGGAAUCAGAAUAAAAAUUGAAUUUAUUUAUUUUUUAAAUAAUAAAGAUAUAUUCAGCUA